UCUCCGUUGGUGAACCAGCGGAGGGAUCUUUACCGAGUUUACAACUCCCAAACCCCUGUGAACAUACCAUUUGUUGCCUCGGCGGUGCCUGCUUCGGCAGCCCGCCAGAGGACCCAAACCCUUGAUUUUAUACAGUAUCUUCUGAGUAAAUGAUUAAAUAAAUCAAAACUUUCAACAACGGAUCUCUUGGUUCUG
rnacentral:misc_RNA from 1 species